AUUUACUUAGCUGAACUGGUAAAGCGUCUGCCUACAAUGCAGGAGACCUGGGUUCGAUCCCUGGAUUAGGAA
rnacentral:tRNA from 1 species